AGUUGGGAGAGGGAUAGAGAUCGAGGGAGGGAUUAUGAUCAUGACAGACAUCGUCACAGAGGUAGAAAUAAUGACUGGUCUAGAGACCGUGAUCGGUCUCGAGAACAUGAUCUGGACAAGGAAAGAGGAUAUGGGCAUUCACAAGAUCGUGAUCUGCCAAAGGAUAAAUUGUUGGAUAGGGAUCCGGAGUUGGAAAAAACGUCUAAGGAUAAUGAGAAGGUACAUGACUCGAAGUUGAACCACGAUCAAGAUUGGGAAAAAGACCAUGGUGAAGAUUGGAGUGGAGGUGGAGGCAUUGAUAACAUUGAUGAUUAUGAUAAAAGCCUUGAAACUGAUAGAGAUCAACUCUCAAGGAGAGAUAACGGUCUUACAAUUGAAGGUCGAACUGCUCGGGAUCUUUCAUCUGAUUCCAGUGAUGAUUAUAUCCAUGAAUUAAGGGAACAACUGGG
rnacentral:misc_RNA from 1 species